rnacentral:rRNA from 1 species
ACGGAGGCAGCAGUGGGGAAUAUUGCACAAUGGGGGAAACCCUGAUGCAGCGACGCCGCGUGAGUGAUGAAGUAUUUCGGUAUGUAAAGCUCUAUCAGCAGGGAAGAUAAUGACGGUACCUGACUAAGAAGCUCCGGCUAAAUACGUGCCAGCAGCCGCGGUAAUACGUAUGGAGCAAGCGUUAUCCGGAUUUACUGGGUGUAAAGGGUGCGUAGGCGGCAUGGCAAGUCAGAUGUGAAAGACCGGGGCUCAACUCCGGGGCUGCAUUUGAAACGGCCAGGCUGGAGUACAGGAGAGGCAGGCGGAAUUCCUAGUGUAGCGGUGAAAUGCGUAGAUAUUAGGAGGAACACCAGUGGCGAAGGCGGCCUGCUGGACUGUUACUGACGCUGAGGCACGAAAGCGUGGGGAGCAAACAGGAUUAGAUACCCUGGUA